rnacentral:misc_RNA from 1 species
UCUCCGUUGGUGAACCAGCGGAGGGAUCAUUACCGAGUUUACAACUCCCAAACCCCUUUGAACAUACCAUUUGUUUCCUCGGCGGUGCCUGCUUCGGCAGCCCGCCAGAGGACCCAAACCCUUGAUUUUAUACAGUAUCUUCUGAGUAAAUGAUUAAAUAAAUAAAAACUUUCAACAACGGAUCUCUUGGUUCUG